AGCUAGAGUUUGAUCAUGGCUCAGAGCGAACGCUGGCGGCAGGCCUAACACAUGCAAGUCGAGCGCCCCGCAAGGGGAGCGGCAGACGGGAGAGUAACACGUGGGAACGUGCCCUUUGGUUCGGAACAACACAGGGAAACUUGUGCUAAUACCGGAUAAGUCCGUAAGGAGAAAGAUUUAUCGCCAAAGGAUCGGCCCGCGUCUGAUUAGCUUGUUGGUGAGGUAACGGCUCACCAAGGCGACGAUCGGUAGCUGGUCUGAGAGGAUGACCAGCCUCACUGGGACUGAGACACGGCCCAGACUCCUACGGGAGGCAGCAGUGGGGAAUAUUGGACAAUGGGCGCAAGCCUGAUCCAGCCAUGCCGCGUGGGUGAUGAAGGCCUUCGGGUCGUAAACCGCUUUCAGCAGGGACGAAAUUGACGGUACCUGCAGAAGAAGGCCCGGCCAACUACGUGCCAGCAGCCGCGGUAAUA
rnacentral:rRNA from 1 species